UAAAACGUAGGACACAAGCGUUAUCCGGAGUUACUGGGCGUAAAGGGCGUGUAGGCGGACGUGUAAGUCUAUUCUGAAAGCUCCUGGCUAAACUGGGAGAGGCGAAUGGAGACUGCAUAUCUAGAGUGAGGAAGAGGAAAGUGGAAUUCCGCGUGUAGUGGUGAAAUGCGUAGAGAUGCGGAGGAACACCAGUGGCGAAAGCGACUUUCUGGUCCUUAACUGACGCUGAGGCGCGAAAGCAUGGGGAGCGAACGGGAUUAGAAACCCCGGUAGUCCAUGCCAUAAACGAUGUUCACUAAACGUUCGUUUCCCGCGAGGGAAGUGGGUGUUGAAGCUAACGCAGUAAGUGAACCGCCUGGGGAGUACGGUCGCAAGGCUA
rnacentral:rRNA from 1 species